rnacentral:misc_RNA from 1 species
AAAGUCCUUGCUGGGUAAGGUCUAACCAGCCACCCAUACCGAGUGUUGCGCCGAAGCUGGUAACAGUUAGGUGAAGCGUACACAGGGAACUAUAGGGUUAGCAACAUUUGAGAUUAGCCGAUGAAGAAGUUAACAAGACGUCGCUAACCCUAGCGCAGUUAUAUGCCAUCCCUACUAAAAAUUAGUGGCAGUAGGUAAAGGAAGA